rnacentral:rRNA from 1 species
GACGAACGCUGGCGGCGUGCUUAACACAUGCAAGUCGAACGAAGUGGCGAACGGGUGAGUAAUACGUGGGUAACCUGCCCUCCUUUUUGGGAUAAGCCUUGGAAACGGGGUCUAAUACCGAAUAAAGGGGGAUGGGCUCGCGGCCUAUCAGCUGGUUGGUGGGGUGAUGGCCUACCAAGGCGGUGACGGGUAGCCGGCCUGAGAGGGCGACCGGCAACAGUGGGACGGAGAUACGGCCCAGGCUCGUACGGGGGGGAGAAGGGGGGGAUAUUGGAGAAUGGGGGAAGGGCUAAUGCAGCGAAGCCUCGUAGGGUAUGAGGGCGUUCGGGUUGUAAACCUAUGACGCUAUCGAACGGGUAGGUAGAUAGGAAGCGCCGGCUAACUACGUGCCAGCAGCCGCGGUAAUUC